rnacentral:lncRNA from 7 species
GCUGCCAUGCUGUUAUGUCCAUCGGAACAGACUGAUGCUGGUGCUGCCAUGGUGUUAUGUCAGUCAGUACAGCCUGAUGUUGGUGCUGCCAUGGGGUGUCAGUUGGACCAGGCUGACAUUGGUGUCGUCGUGGUGUUAUGUCAGGCAGUACAGGCUGAUGUCAGUGUUAUUGUGGUGUUAUAUCAGGCAGUACAGGCUGACAUUGGGGCCAUCACACUGUUACAACAGUCCAUACAGGCCGAUAUUGGUGCUGCCAUGCUGUUGUGUCAGUCAGAACAGACUGAUGUUGGUGUCCUCGUGGUGUUAUGUCAGUCAGAACAGACUGAUGUUGGUGCUUUCAUGCUGUUACGUCAGUCCUUACAGACCAACGUCGGUGUCUCUGUGCUGUCAGUCCAUACAGACUGACGUUGGUGGUAUCACGGUGUUAUAUCAGUCCAUACACACUGAUGUUGGUGUUAUCACGGUGUUAUAUCAAUGGGCACAGACUGACACUGGUGUUAUCACAGCAUUAUAGCAGUCCAUACACACUGAUGUUGGUGUUAUGAUGUUAUAUCAGUGGGUACAGACUGACAUUGGUGUUAUCACAGCGUUAUAUCAGUCCAUACACACUGAUGUUGGUGUUAUCACGGUGUUAUAUCAAUGGGCACAGACUGACAUUGGUGUUAUCACAGCGUUAUAUCAGUCCAUACACACUGAUGUUGGUGUUAUGAUGUUAUAUCAGUGGGUACAGACUGACAUUGGUGUUAUCACAGCGUUAUAUCAGUCCAUACACACUGAUGUUGGUGUUAUCACGGUGUUAUAUCAAUGGGCACAGACUGACAUUGGUGUUAUCACAGCAUUAUAGCAGUCCAUACACACUGAUGUUGGUGUUAUGAUGUUAUAUCAGUGGGUACAGACUGACAUUGGUGUUAUCACACUGUUAUGUCAGUCCAUACACACCAAUGUUGGUGUUAUGCUGUUAUGUCAGUCCAUACAGACCAAUGUUGGUGUUAUCAUGCUGUUAUGUCAGUCCAUACAGACCACUGUUGGUCUCUGUGCUAUCAGUCCAUACAGACUGACAUCGGUGUCUCUGUGCUGUCAGUCCAUACAGGCCAAUGUUGGUGUUAUCAUGCUGUUACAUCAGUCCAUACAGACCGAUGUGGGUCUCUGUGCAGUCAGUCCAUACAGACCACUGCCGCUG